GGUCCGUUCGUCUAGUCCGGUCAGGACGCCAGGUUUUCAUCCUGGUAACAGGGGUUCGAAUCCCCUACGGACUA
rnacentral:tRNA from 1 species